GUAUUGAAUUUGUAACUCCAAAUCAAUAGCUACUUAUCAGGCAAGAACUUCUUGUCUAUUCCAAUCCACUUGAUGUAUUUUCCUAGUCAUGUAUGUUUGUUUGUUCAGAAAAGACCAGACAGGAGAACAGAGAGAGAGAGAAAGAGAGAAAAAAAGAGUCAGAAGAAGUUGCCUCCUUCAUAUUCCCCUCUCCCCCUCUUUCCCCCCCCAUCAUCCAUUCCCCUCUUCCAACCUUUUCUGUUGUUUAUAAUUCUUUGAUGAUCCCUCCGCAGGUUCACCUACGGAGA
rnacentral:misc_RNA from 1 species